UACGUAGGGUGCAAGCGUUAAUCGGAAUUACUGGGCGUAAAGCGUGCGCAGGCGGUGAUGUAAGACAGUUGUGAAAUCCCCGGGCUCAACCUGGGAACUGCAUCUGUGACUGCAUUGCUGGAGUGCGGCAGAGGGGGGUAGAAUUCCACGUGUAGCAGUGAAAUGCGUAGAGAUGUGGAGGAAUACCGAUGGCGAAGGCAGCCCCCUGGGAUAACACUGACGCUCAUGCACGAAAGCGUGGGGAGCAAACAGG
rnacentral:rRNA from 1 species